AGCUGACUGUUGGGUCAGGACGAGAUGAUCCCCUCAGGUCAGAAUUGUUCCAAUAGUCAAGACUGAGAGGAGGCAAACAUCGUGAUCAGAUGUGAAGCAGAGCACACGCCACUCUUCAUCCUAAGAUGACUCAAAUGUCUUCUGCUGCAAAUGACGAGAUCUUGCCUCCACAUGGGUAGUGCCAAAGACAAAUGACAGAUGGUUAUUUGGAUUCAACUGGAAUGGUGAGAAGUUCUAAGUUAUCCAGUUAGCUCAGUGGUGUCACCACAACGUCCUUGCACUCAACGUCAGCAAGACCAAAGAGCUGAUUGUGGACUUCAGAAAGAAAAGACAACUAAAUGAGGCAGGUUGAUUUUCUGGCUAUGAAAUCUAUAUACGAGGGGAGUCCAUGUAGAGGUUCUGACCUGGGGUUACACGCUGACUUCGGCUCUUUGUGGAAAUGGGACCGGCUCUCGGAGCCACCCCACUGGCCGCUUUCCGAUAUGCCAAGGAUGUGGCCUGGAAGAUCAGCACGCCCUCAAGGUGCCGGAUUUUCAUGGCUCUGGAGGCAGGUGUGUCGUGGGAGUACACAGAAGAUUGUAACCAAUGAGCUGGCUGCUGGCUGUGUGCCCAGAGACCCAAGUUCUUUGGGCACAGAGCUCAGGAAAAGAAACACAACGGACUUUUAACACAAUAAAUCAGCGAAUUGCUUUGUUAUGUCUCCCCUCUCAUUGUGAAACAGGGACAUCUCUUUUUCCCUUAUUAGGGAGAAAGAGAGCCUAUGGACAAAUACCAGGUGAACGAGUAGUUUCUUAGGGUGCUGUAAGUCUGUCUCUUUAUUGAUGCGUUGCAAUACACUUAAGUGCUCGGUGAGG